UAGGGAAUCUUCGGCAAUGGGCGAAAGCCUGACCGAGCAACGCCGCGUGAAUGAUGAAGGCCUUCGGGUUGUAAAAUUCUGUUAUAAGGGAAGAACGACUUUAGUAGGAAAUGGCUAGAGUGUGCCGGUACCUUAUGAGAAAGCCACGGCUAACUACGUGCCAGCAGCCGCGGUACUACGUAGGUGGCGCGCGUUAUCCGGAAUUAUUGGGCGUAAAGAGCGCGCAUGUGGUUGAUUAAGUCUGUGGUGAAAGCGCACGGCGUAACCGUGGAGGGUCAUUGGAAACUGGUC
rnacentral:rRNA from 1 species